ACUUCUUACGGCUUACAGCUUACAACACCUAUUAUAGACCAGGCCUCAAUUCUCUAUAAGCGAGCGUAAGUUUUAGUUAUUUUAUUAAUCGUCCAUGGACUGUGAGUAGUGUAGAAACGUAGUCACUACUCAGUUUGUGAAAAUUUCCAAGGGACAGAAUCGAUUACCGUGGGUGUACGGUCGCGGACAUAAAGGUUGUCACUUUUUUUAAUGACUCAGGACGUAUCCCGACUCAAGAAAAAUGAGAACUGCUGCUUCGCCUGCGGAGCACGCCUGCGCAGUAACUCACAACGAAAUUUGCUCGAUCGUUGAAUGUCGUGAACGCACCCAAUUCUUACAUUUUGAAAAAUCAGCAGCGGAGGGAUAGAUACAUAGUGCAAGUCACUCAAAUAGGAAUGCGUCUUUUGCAAAAUAUUAAACAGUCUUAUGAAGAUUCCACUUCAGUGUGUGAUCAUCGCUUGAGGUAAUAAGAACCGGAUCUGCGGGGUGGAAGACGAGUGCUCUAACAGCGUUAAAAUGUGAACGUAACGUAUAUUUAGCGUUCCAUAUUUUUCUGAGGGUUUCCUUCGUAGUGGAAACCAUCUGUGUCGCAAGAAAUAAUAUGUUAAUGUCAACAAACUGUAACUCUAAAGGCUCGUCUACAUU